rnacentral:rRNA from 1 species
GACGAACGCUGGCGGCGUGCUUAACACAUGCAAGUCGAACGGAAAGGCCCUGCUUUUGUGGUGUGCUCGAGUGGCGAACGGGUGAGUAACACGUGAGUAACCUGCCCUUGACUUUGGGAUAACUUCAGGAAACUGGGGCUAAUACCGGAUAGGAGCUCCUGCUGCAUGGUGGGGGUUGGAAAGUUUCGGCGGUUGGGGAUGGACUCGCGGCUUAUCAGCUUGUUGGUGGGGUGGUGGCUUACCAAGGCUUUGACGGGUAGCCGGCCUGAGAGGGUGACCGGCCACAUUGGGACUGAGAUACGGCCCAGACUCCUACGGGAGGCAGCAGUGGGGAAUAUUGCACAAUGGGCGGAAGCCUGAUGCAGCAACGCCGCGUGCGGGAUGACGGCCUUCGGGUUGUAAACCGCUUUCGCCUGUGACGAAGCGUGAGUGACGGUAAUGGGUAAAGAAGCACCGGCUAACUACGUG